UACGGAGGAUUCAAGCGUUAUCCGGAUUUAUUGGGUGUAAAGGGAACGCAGGCGGUCUUUUAAGUCUGAUGUGAAAGCCUUCGGCUUAACCGGAGUAGUGCAUUGGAAACUGGUUGACUUGAGUGCAGAAGAGGGAAGUGGAAUUCCAUGUGUAGCGGUGAAAUGCGUAGAGAUAUGGAGGAACACCAGUGGCGAAGGCGGCUUCCUGGUCUGCAACUGACACUGAGGCGCGAAAGCGUGGGGAGCAAACAGG
rnacentral:rRNA from 1 species